GCUUCUUGCAGGUCCCCCGGAGAAAGCUGUCCACCGCCGCACCCCCUGCCGGAGCUCCUCCUCCUCGGUCAGCGGUCACCCCCGGGUCUAGUUUCCAGCAACAGUUUCAUUUCUAUAUGCCAUAGCUUGCACAAAAUCUUGUUUUAGCUUGCUUACAAAUCUCACCAAGUGAAGGACUUUCAGAUGCUGGGGAUGAGAUAUUAAUUAUUUCACCAACUCUGCCCUUCUUUCAUCUUCACCCUUUGCAGUCCCUUUCCACAAGCUUUUGUGUUUCCUUUUUUUUUUGCCCCAAUCAUAAGUGGAGUUCGAUAAUUAAUUAAUCUAAUCAAUCUAUAGGCAAUUAAGUAACGCCAGGUGUAGGGAUUUGUUGCUGAGCAUGGAUGAUUGGUUGAUACUCAU
rnacentral:lncRNA from 1 species